UACAGAGGGUGCAAGCGUUGUUCGGAAUUAUUGGGCGUAAAGGGCGCGUAGGCGGUGCUGUAAGUCUGUGGUGAAAUCUCUGGGCUCAACUCAGAGUCUGCCAUAGAAACUGCAGUGCUGGAGUGUGGGAGAGGUGAGUGGAAUUCCCGGUGUAGCGGUGAAAUGCGUAGAUAUCAGGAAGAACACCCGUGGCAAAGGCGGCUCUCUAGUACGGUACUGACGCUGAGACGCGAAAGCGUGGGGAGCGAACAGG
rnacentral:rRNA from 1 species